AGUUGUGGAGGGAGCAGAAACCUGCCCGCAGCUAAAAUUCGCGCUUCAGCUCAAUGAGGCCGAGCAAACGAAUGCAGUGGGAUGCCUGCUGGGCCGACUGCCGCCCCGGCCCGGAGCCCUGGGUCCACUUCGCAGCCUGCUGCUGAGUUUCAGACCGCAGUACUCAGCAUCCGCCCGGCUUUGACCCCUUGCCGAAGUCUGCACAUCGAUAGAUGCUGGGCGUAGGUUUUUCCCUAGGUUAAAGCCCCAAAGCUCCCACCUUCGCCUUCUAUUUAUUUGCCCGCUCCCACCACUACCAUCGAAGUACGUGCCCCUCUGGUAGUGUUGGCGCUGCCACCCGAACGAGGGAAAGGGCGCCUCCCCAUCCCCUCCUCCCCAUCCCCGCCGCGACUCGGGGUUUUACUGCGGCAGCCGGAGGUGACAGCGACGCCUGAGCCUCCUCCGUUGCUCUCAGAGCCCCAGCUUCCCCAGCCUCCGGAAAGCGCCUCCUUCUGAGAGGCUGGUCCCUGGAGAAGUGCUAACGUGCUGCAGGAAACCAAAUUUAAAAAUGUAGAAGUCGCUGGGCUGCAUUCCUCGGAGGACGAGCCUGAUCGCCCAGGACCGAGUGUGGCAGCGUGUGGGAAGUUGGGACCAUAGAGCAAGGGGGGAGGGGAGUGGUGCAGCCAGCAUUCUCUUCUGAAAGGAGUCAUUGGGAGCAGUGACCGGUUGGACACAAGUUUGCCUGGGAGUGUUUUCCUUUCGUCAAUAAUUAAUCGCCGGAAUCAGGCUGACAGAAUUGGAGUUUUAGCAAUAGUGCAGAGGGCGGGGCCGAACACCUAAGUCCAGGAGCUUUGAGGUGCCCAGCGCAGUAGGAAGCUCGCAGCAGUUGGGGAGGAGCCAAAGCACUGGUGCUCACCUAAGCCGCAGGAGAUAUACCCAACCCAACCGGGAGAUGAAGAAACUGCAACCCAGAGAGGAGAAGUAAUACACACAGAAUCAUUCCCCAGGGGAAACAAGGACAAGACCCCAGACCUGGACUCUCCUAGAUUUCCUCUGGUAUUCUUGACAAACAAGCCCAUGUUUUCUCAAAGAGGGCAAAGAAUGUUUCAUCUCAUCCAGUUUGAGCCUAUAGUUAAAUUGGUAACAAAUCUAUUGGUUGAAAUAUUUUUCUUAAUAUGCCCAGUUGCCAUUAGCCUUCUCCUUGAGAAUCAACAAUGUUCUUAGGAAACAAACAACUGUUACUUAUUUAGAAGAAUAAUCUUGGAGCUCAGCCCUUUUCUGCUUUUCACUAGAAGCAUGCAGGUACCCACGCACCUGGGAGCAGGUGAAGGAGAAUGAAGCCAGCAUAAUAUGUCCAUACCAUUCUGCCCGGAAGAAUGAGGAAUCCACUAGGCUAAAUUGUCACUGGUGCUUUUUUCUUUUAGUAUCUAACUUAAGUUACUCACUUCUAAGUAUCAGAUUACAAAAUCUAAUUAAUUUAAUUGCCUAAAAGCAAUGAUGUCUUGACAUAACUCUAUUACUCCUGCCCCUCCAUUCUCAACUCUCCCUAUCCCACCCUAGAAACUGACCUACAUUGUUAACCAACCCAGUAGGGAAAUCUCCCCUGAGCUGGGGGUUAGCAGAGAGAACAUCUCAACAAUGCUGUAUCUAUCUCCAUGAGCCUUGGAGUCAGCCUAGCUCUCCAUUCGUUUUCUUAAAAGCAGUGAUAACUGAGGUACAGAAGCAAGUUAGGUGAGGGCAGUAAAAGGGUAUUGAAAAAAAAGCGAAAAACCAGUAAGAGGAUCUUACUAUUCUCACAAAAAAAUCACACCUAUGCAAGUUCAAUGUUACUAGUUACCAAAAAAUUGAACUCAUCACCAAAAGCUUUCCAGAUAAUGCAAUAAGAUGUAAAGAAUAAGCCAGAAGAAUGAGGAAAAGAAAGAGGAGAAGGAGGAAGAACAGAAAAAUAAAAGCAAUUGAAAGU
ensembl:lncRNA